GUGCUCUCUUUGGCAGCACAUAUACUAAAAUUGGAAUGAUACAGAGAAGAUUAGCAUGGCCCCUGCACAGCGAUGACAUGCAAAUUCAUGACACAUUCCAUAUUUUU
rnacentral:snRNA from 1 species